rnacentral:rRNA from 1 species
CAGUAGCCACGGUAAUACGAGGGGGGCAAGCGUUGUUCGGAAUUAUUGGGCGUAAAGGGUGCGUAGGCGGUUUGAUAAGUCAUCUGUGAAAUCUCUGGGCUCAACCCAGAGUCUGCAGGCGAAACUGUCGAGCUUGAGUAUUGGAGAGGUGAGUGGAAUUCCCAGUGUAGAGGUGAAAUUCGUAGAUAUUGGGAAGAACACCAGUGGCGAAGGCGGCUCACUGGACCGACACUGACGCUGAGGCGCGAAAGCGUGGGGAGCAAACAGGAUUAGAUACCCCCGUAGUCCCUGUCUCUUAUAC